AGUAAAAGUCGUAACAAGGUUUCCGUAGGUGAACCUGCGGAAGGAUCAUUAAUUUUGGCAGUUUACUGCUGUAGAGAGGAGCCGAAUUCUAUCCAGGUUCGGGCUGAUGGGCAAAAAAAGUCUACUCAAAUCGCCCUGGUGUUUGUUAGUAGGCUCCCUUUCUUAACCCUUUGACUUUUUGCGCACUCAUGUUUCCUCGGCAGGCUUGCCUGCCGGUUGGACAAUCCUAUAACCUUUGAAUUUUCAAUCAGCGUCUGGAUUAAUAUAAUAAUUACAACUUUCAACAACGGAUCUCUUGGUUCUGGCAUCGAUGAAGAACGCAGCGAAAUGCGAUAAGUAGUGUGAAUUGCAGAAUUCAGUGAAUCAUCGAAUCUUUGAACGCACAUUGCGCCCCUUGGUAUUCCAUGGGGCAUGCCUGUUCGAGCGUCAUUUGUACCCUCAAGCCUUGCUUGGUGUUGGGUGAUUGUCUUUGCUAUGCCUAGACUCGCCUUAAAUUUAUUGGCAGCCAAUAUAUAGGUUUGAAUUGCAGCACAAUUUGCAACCUCUGCUUAUUUUAUGGGCAUCCAUUAUGAUUAUUCCACGUUUGACCUCGGAUCAGGUAGGGAUACCCGCUGAACUUAAGCAUAUCAAUAAGCGGAGGAAAAGAAACCAACAGGGAUUGCCCCAGUAACG
rnacentral:rRNA from 1 species